CUAUUUUCAAGUUUUGAACAACUUGACUUUCAAGAUCUACAUAUCUACAUGUGCCGAUGUUUCCAUUUAUCAAUGUUAUAUUUUAAGAUCUGUGCAAGAACUCAGCUAACAGAUGUUUCCAUACAUAAAAGCUAUCUUCAGGUUUUUACAAUGAAAAAACUUUUAAAGUUGAAUG